UACGAAGGGGGGCUAGCGUUGCUCGGAAUCACUGGGCGUAAAGCGCACGUAGGCGGAUCUUUAAGUCAAGGGUGAAAUCCUGGAGCUCAACUCCAGAACUGCCUUUGAUACUGGGGAUCUCGAGUCCGAGAGGUGAGUGGAACUCCGAGUGUAGAGGUGAAAAUUCGUAGAUAUUCGGAAGAACACCAGUGGCGAAGGCGGCUCACUGGUCCGGUACUGACGCUGAGGUGCGAAAGCAUGGGUAGCGAACAGG
rnacentral:rRNA from 1 species